CUACGAUGAUGGCGAUAUUUUUUAUCAAUAGAAAUUGGCCUAGGGAGUUUUGAUAUCAGGGUAUGAGUGA
ensembl:snoRNA